UGGCGAAUGAAUGGUGUAUGGUGAUAACAAUGGUGAAAGUCUAAUUUUACUUUUGCUCUUUUAAGGGGAUACAUACCUUUCUUGCACUUUGAUGCUUUUUGAGGAGAAUGAGAUGCUCUAUAUUUUCUUUUUCUUUUCUCUCUGGUGGGUAUCUUGUACCCCUAAUUCUACUGUCGGACACUUGUCCAUUUUUACCUCUCGUCUCACUUUUUCUUUUCUUCGAGGUUCCGGGCACUUGCCCCUUUUUAUUUCCUCAUAUUUUUCCCUUUUUUCAGAGCACUCACCCUCCUAGAAUAAUGUAGCAAGUGGUAGUAACCAAAAUAUCUCGAGCAUUUAUUUCAUAGGGAAUAACAGGGAUAGGAAAAAGUUUUUGGCUAUUCUCUCCCAGAUAGGAGUAGAACAAUUUUAGGUGAAUCUGGAGAUGGAAUUGAGUGGAUGUAUGUGGAUGCGUACUUUCGGAGUAGAAGUAGCAUGUAUGAGUGAACGUGCAAGUGAAUGUUGAUUUUAACCACAUGACAAGCUCCUAAGGGUCUACACAGCUUGACCACACUCAAUGCUCAUAAGCAGUAAAAAGUAAAUAUAUGGUUCAUAGUCUAAUAAGCAUGUAUAUAUGGCUGUGGUAGGAUUUUAAACUCUUAUCAUACAGGAACUCAUCAUGCAACAUUUUAAAGAUUUUCAA
rnacentral:lncRNA from 1 species